GGAAGGUCAUUUGAACUGUCACCCAUCAAGGACAGUGUGUGGAAGUUGCUCAAAUCCCUGAGACCUCCUGGGCAUGGCACUGAGCUGCCUCAAAUCCCAAUCUCUCGAAGCAGAAGUGUGACAACAACUUAAUUUGAGGGAUAUCAUAUGAAAUUGGUUUGCUGUCCUGUGAGAAGGUCCCUGCAGUUACAGAGCUUUCAGACUGGGACCAUCUCCAUAAUGUUUAAUAAGGACAAAGGAAUACUUAGAGAUGUGAAAUGGAAGCUAUUUCUGACAAGUUGGGAUGUUCAUGGUGCUUCGUGGGUUGUCAUUUGAAAGGCUUCACUCAUGGAUGAAAACAGGAAAUAAAGAAUUUAUUAUUGAAUGAGGUAAACCA
rnacentral:lncRNA from 1 species